CUUUGUUCUCUCCGUCUUAAAAGCUUUGUCUUUGCAACUUCAUCUGUGUAGAACCGAUUUCUCAGCUUCACCUCAAACUUAGAAAAUAAACCCCAACUUCAUAGAAGAAGAGUUCGUAUCACAAACUCAGAUUUCUCAGCUUCACCCUCAGUAGCUGCGUAGGUGUAGUAGAUGGUGAAGACCAAUUUGUCUGCAAUGGUAAACAAAAAGGUUAUCAAUGAAGCAAAGAGCAACAAUUCAGUCCCAACUCCCAAAAAGGUAGUAAGCAAGCAGGACAAAAACGUCAGUUUUUCUCCUUUCAAGAUCAUUUUAAAAGACAAGAGUAAAAAGUCUCUUGCCAAACAAACUCCUAAGAAGAAGAAGAAGAGUUCGGAGCAUCCUGAUAGCGGAAAGAAUCCAAGACGAUCAUCCCUUAGGUUUAAGAACACUCCAAAGGAACCUCAUAAUGCUGAAAAGACUACUCAGAACAGUUCAGAGGAACCACAUGAUGCUGAAAAGCCUACUCCAACACGGUCAUCGCCUCGGAAAACUAAAAGUGUAGUUGAACCAGUCGCUGAAAAGACAACUCCAACACGAUCAUCACUUAUGAAAAGGAAAAGCUCAUUUGAACCAGAACAAUCUCAACCAUUACAUUCCACAUCAGGAGCAUCUCAAGUUGCACCCUCUAGUGAAGUUGUUAACAAGAAGAAAAGUGCAAAGCGAAAAUUGUACACAUGGCCAUGUCCAAAUGUGCAAGUCAGGAAUUCGAAUAAUACUUUCUCAGAUCUUCAAGACGAUGAAGAAGAUGAAGAUGAUGAACAAGAAGAUAAGGGAAAUGAAUAGGUGGAGAAUGAAGACAAGGAAAAUGAGAACGAUGGCGAGGACCAUGACGUGGGAAAUGAAAAUGAAACAGAAGUUGAGGCAAACCCAAAAGAAAGUACGUUCCACAUGGCCCAACAAGGAUGAGUGCACUAGGGAUAACAGCUGAUAACAAUUGCAAGGAAGCUGUUAGCUUUAACAGUAAGGAUUAGCCCAUUGGUGAUCCUUUGGUGCAGCUUGCAAGUGUGUUGGGAGUUUUAGUUCGAAACAUCCCAUUGAAACACAAGGAUUGAAGACUUAUCCCUAAAGAAGCCAAAGAUAAAAUAUGGGCGAUUGUCAUGCAAAGGUUUGUUAUCGAUGAGUUUUACAAAGACUACUGUCUUGGGAAGAUGGGAUGUUAUCUUAAAGAGGCUAGGUUAAGGAAAGUCGUUAAGAUACUCGCCUUAGAUGAUCUAGAGGAAGAAGAAAGAGAGAAGAGCCUGGAAGCACUGAAACCAGAGAAUGACACUGUCAAUGAGUGGGAAGAGUUCGUAAAACAUGUUUGCUCGGAGGAAUUCAGAACAAAAAGAUUGCUGAUGCAACAAAUCAGAAAGAAACACACCACUCCACAGACUAUCAGUAGACUAGGUUAUGCGAGACUCGAGGCUAAAAUGCAAAAGGAACGGAAAACACAAGAAGAGAUUGAUAGAGUCGAAAUUUAGACAACGAGUCACAAACAGAAGGAAGGAAAACAACCUAAUCUUGGUGUUGUGGAGGCUUUGG